rnacentral:lncRNA from 1 species
UUAAACCUUUGUUUUAAUAUCUUGUAACUUGAUUCAAUCAAGGGAUUGAAUCAAGGGGUUAAGGUUUGUUGGUGAGCCAAAGGGAAAACCAACGGUGUUAGGUUGUGGUUGGUGAGCCUUUGGGAAAACCAACUGGGUUGAUUGUGAACCCGGAAAACAAUCGUUGUAAGGUUGUGGUUGGUGAGCCAGUGGAAAAACCAACUGGGUUUGAUUGUGAACCCGGGAAAACAAUCGGUUGGUUCUAGUCGGUGAGCCUGUGAAAACCGACCGAGUUCGUUGUGAUCUCGCAAAACAACAAGUUGGGUUGUGAGCUUGUAAAACAACCGGCUGUAAUCUGUAGGAUUAUAGUGAAAUUCCCAAG